CAUACAAGGAUUAUAAUUGGGCGAAACAAACAUGACCUACGAGUAGUUCGUAAAAAAGGAGACUAUAAAGUAAAGAUGGACUGCGGAAAAUGAGGUGGCGGAGAAGUGAAUUCAAUAGACAGAUUCAUUCGCUGCAGCUCACAAGUUUCACAGACCAAAUCUCCCUCUUUGCAAUCGAUACACCAUGACAAGGAAUUCGCCAAUGGCAGUUGAUAUAUCGUCUGAUGAUUCUUGUUCUGCUACUGAUGAUGAUGAAUGUCGUAGUAGCAAAAGGCCGAGACCAAAUGGGGCAAUUGACCAGCCUUCCCGAGAACUAACAUUUGAAGGUACAGUUGUCAAAAGGGCAGAAAUGUAUCAAGAAUAUAUGAAACAACUUCCAAUUCCUAUUAACCGUCCAUCUGUUCUUCCAUGUACUACGUGGCAAGGAUUAGCUAAAUCCAUAAAGCAGUUUUAUGGGCAACCCCUACACUACCUCACUAAUAUAUGCCUGAAAAAGUGGGAUCAAUUGCGGAUCGGAUCAGAGGAUGAGCAUCAGCCUUUGCAUACCAUUAUCCAUCCUUCUAAAGCUGAAAUCAGCAUCUGGUGUGUGGAAGAAGUUCACCGACGCACAACUUCUAAUCACAAACUGUCCAAAUUGUGGUUAGCUGAUCCUACACACAAUGCCUAUAUUGACCCGAAUAGAGGUUGAACAUCUGCAGUUCCAUUUCAGCAGUGACUGGAUAGUAUAUUGAAAAUUUUCAUUCUUAAGUAGAGUUGUGUGGCAGUGUAAUGAGAGACUGGAAGAAGAAAAUCGAGUGAUUUUGUACAUUUCGUACUUGCCUUCACCAGUUAAAAACUCAUUAAUGUCAGCUGGAGAGGAUGACACUCUAGAGUGCCUGUUUGGGCAACUCCCAUAAAAAAAAUAAGUUGCUUAUUUUUUUUAUUAAAAAAUGUAUCAUUUUAUAA